rnacentral:rRNA from 1 species
AUUGAACGCUGGCGGCAGGCCUAACACAUGCAAGUCGAGCGAGCGGCGGACGGGUGAGUAAUGUAUGGGGACUGCCCGAUAGAGGGGGAUAACUACUGGAAACGGUGGCUAAUACCGCAUACUAUCGGAUAACCCAUAUGGGAUUAGCUAGUAGGUGGGGUAAAGGCUCACCUAGGCGACGAUCUCUAGCUGAUGUGAGAGGAUGGUCAGCCACACUGGAACUGAGACACGGCCCGGACUCCUACGGAGGGAGCAGUGGGGAAAGGUGCACGAUGGGCGCGAGCCUGGUGCGAACAUGCCGCGUGGAUGGAAGAGGCCUUAGGGUUGUAAAGUACUUUCAGCGGGGAGGCGUUACCCGCAGAAGAAGCACCGGCUAACUCCGUGCCAGCAGCCGCGGUAAUAC